rnacentral:rRNA from 1 species
AGUGAACGCUGGCGGUAGGCCUAACACAUGCAAGUCGAACGGCAGCACAGUAAGAGCUUGCUCUUACGGGUGGCGAGUGGCGGAAGGGUGAGGAAUACAUCGGAAUCUACUUUUUCGUGGGGGAGAAAGUAGGGAAACUUCCGCUAAUAACGCAUACGACCUACGUGUGAAAGCAGGGGAUCUUCGGACCUUGCGCGCUUGCAUGAGCCGAUGUCGGAUUUGCGAGUUGGCGGGGUCAAGGCCCACCAUGGCGACGAUCCGUAGCUGGUCUGAGUGGAUGACCUGCCAGGCUGGAGAUGAGACACGGCCCAGACUCCAACGGGAGGCGGCAGUGGGGAAUAUGGGAGGAUGGGGUAAGGCCUGAUCCAGCCAUACCGCGUGGGUGAAGAAGCCCUUCGGGUUGUAAGGCCCUUUUGUUGGGAAAGAAAAGCAGCGGGUUAAUACCCGCUGUUCUGACGGUACCCAAAAAAUAAGCACCGCUAACUUCGUG